AUUGCAGACAUUUGAAAAAAGUAUCUGGCAUCUCCGCUGGCGACACCAAGAACCAGUCAAAAUUCUCCGCUAAUUAAACAACAAAGUAACAAACAAUCAGCUUCCGACGCUCCGCAGCUUCACCCUGCUGUGCCCACUCACACACACACCCACACACAAGGGGCGUGACACUUCCAAUAACUUAUAAAUUAUUAUACAAUUAUAAUGUUUUUGUAGAUUUAUAGACGAUUAUAAUUUUAUAGACAGCUUAUACUUAUACAAUUUUCGAACUUGUUUUCGAACUUAUUCUCAGUGUGCGGUGAAUUUGUGUGAGUUGUCACUUUUAUUGUUUACAUUGUUGAAAUCAAGACGUGCAUAACUAAAAUUUUAAAAUCGAACGCUUUUGUACUUGCGCCAUAAAAAAGAUAUCCGGAAACGAUCACAGAGGUCAAAUUGCUUAUGGGAUAGCAGAAUAUUGAACAAACCUCUCACGAGUUCUGGUGUUGAAUUUGAGCAAUAUUCCGGCCUGCCCGGCAGGAUCUGCACAACGAGCUAAUCAUAUUCCAGACAUCAAUGCCGGUAUGUUCCGGGUAGUGUAUUCAACGCCAGAGUAUGACCGGGGACGCGGGUAAUUAUAUGCUACAGCAAAUAUCCGAUCAACUGGUACUGAUUGUAAUCAACGAAGCUCACUGUGUGAGUAACUGACGGGGGACGAUUUUCGCCCGGCUUAAGGACAUCUCCGUGUAAUUCGUACGGAUUCGCAUUUUAGCAUUGAUGGCAACUGCAACUUCCAAUGUUCGUGAAGAUAUUGUGGCAAACCUUGGUUUGCGUAAUCUGCAAGUUUUGUGCACUAGGUUCGAUCGACCGAAUCGGAAGCUUUAUGUUAAAAUUAAGGGCUCCCUUGGUGUGUGGAAGGAUCUUUGAGGAUUGCUUAGCAAAAACACUGAAGGCAGCAUCAUAAUCUACUACUGACUCGGAAGGAAACGGAAGAGAUUGUGGAGCUGUUGAAGAGCAAACGAAUUGAUUGUGAGCCGUAUCAUGCGGGUCUUUUACUGAAGCAGAGGCUUUCUGUACACAAAAACUGUCCGAGGCCGCAUUCAGAUUAUUGUAGCUAUGACAGCUUUCGGAAUGGGAAUUGACAAACCGGAUGUUAGAUUGGUCAUUCACUAUGGUGCGGCGAAGGAUUUAGAAAGUUAUUAUCAGGAAGUCUGUAGAGCUGACCGGUAUGGACAACCAUCCAAGUGUAUUAUGUUUAAGAGUAGCGCUGAUUUCAAAACACAUGAGCUACUACGAGAUUAUAAUCAGGGUGUUGUUCAGAAGAAUUCAAAAGCUUUGUCGAAGAAGAUGCACGAAUAUUUGGACACAAGAGACUACAGACGGAGGUUUAUCCUAAAAUAUUUGAAGGAGACAAUGUGAAAGUCGCACCUCGCAAGCAUUGCUGUGACAACUGUGAUCGGACGGUUAGUGGAAUAAGGGAAAGUGAGCGAUAUGAAGGGAUCGACGAGAACAACAAUUUUGAUUUUAGGCACGGAACAUUUGUUGAAUGUAAUCGAAGCCUUCGGUGGUAAUUUAAGUAUUGCGCUACCGAUCGCACUGCGCUGCGCGGCUCCAAAAGCAAGAAACUAAAUGAUCAUUACCUGAAAAAUUCUUUACGAUUUGCUUCGAGCGAAUCUAGUCAUCCACAAAUUUUACUAAGGCCAUGUAAACAGUACAAUCGAACUGUCAAGAAAAGUGAGGUUAACUGUUUCAGUAAAGAACCUAAUUGUUGACAUGGUCGUUCACCAAUAUAAAUGUAAAAAAAUCUUAAUCCUCAAAAACUAGGAAUCUGGAACAUACCUGAUUAUGUACACCGCAGAAGAACUACUUAUUGAGCAACAGGUGCUAUGAUUUGUUAAACGAACAUCUCGAGAUUCACGGAAGACAUUCUUUUCCAUGGAAGGCGAGCAUCUGUCAGCUUCGAUUGGCAAAAGUUCCUGUGAAAUUUUUUAAUGUUGAGUGCAAAUAAGUCGGUAUGAUGGCAGAGCACUCGGGUGCCAGAUAGCAACAUUUCCAGAUACAGUACAGACUGGUUUGCUAACGUGUGAGAUGUCCAACCUCAACCAGUAUGCGAAGAACAAAAGGAUAUUCAUAUUUUGUCAGCAACUGCAAAAGAGUCUUGCUUACGCUAAUAAAUCUGAAGCUCUCCGACCAAAACAUAGUGAAGAUUUCAACGGACAACAGUAUAACUUCUUUAAAAAAUCACUGUGUUGUGCCUAUGAAUCCAAAAUAUGCUGCGGUUUAGCGGAUAUGUUGGUGUACACAGGAUUAAGACUUAGUGGAUUGAAUAGUGUUUUAAAGGAGUCGGAAUAGGCUGUUUCAUUUAUUUUAUUUAAAAAAUUUCAAAUUUGUUAAACGACAAAUAUACACUCCCCAAAUGUCGCAUACAAA